rnacentral:rRNA from 1 species
UACGGAGGAUGCGAGCGUUAUCCGGAUUUAUUGGGUUUAAAGGGUGCGUAGGCGGGAUGCCAAGUCAGCGGUAAAAAUGCGGUGCUCAACGCCGUCGAGCCGUUGAAACUGGCGUUCUUGAGUGGGCGAGAAGUAUGCGGAAUUCGUGGUGUAGCGGUGAAAUGUAUAGAUAUCACGCAGAACUCCGAUUGCGAAGGCAGCAUACCGGCGCCCUACUGACGCUGAGGCACGAAAGCGUGGGUAUCGAACAGG